GAUGAAGAACGUAGCGAAAUGCGAUAACUAAUGUGAAUUGCAGAAUUCAGUGAAUCAUCGAGUCUUUGAACGCACAUUGCGCCCUCUGGUAUUCCGGAGGGCAUGCCUGUCCGAGCGUCAUUGCUGCCCUCAAGCCCGGCUUGUGUGUUGGGCCCCGUCCCCCCCGCCGGGGGGACGGGCCCGAAAGGCAGCGGCGGCACCGCGUCCGGUCCUCGAGCGUAUGGGGCUUCGUCACCCGCUCUAGUAGGCCCGGCCGGCGCCAGCCGACCCCCAACCUUUAAUUAUCUCAGGUUGACCUCGGAUCAGGUAGGGAUACCCGCUGAACUUAAGCAUAUCAAUAAGCGGAGGA
rnacentral:misc_RNA from 1 species